ensembl:lncRNA
CUGAUUCAUUUUUCCUUUAAUUCAAUUUACCAAAAUGUGUGGGCAGAGCCUGAGCCUCUGGGCAUAUUAACAUUAAUAAAACACAAUUAAGCAAAUGUUAUUAUGUUGCCAGCAACAAAAAGAAUGCCCCUGAGUGUACAACUUCCCCUCGCUGUAAUAAAUAUGCAGACAUGAGAACUGUGCCUUGCAACCCGUUGCUUAAACAGCUUUAAAAAACCAAAAUACCCACUUUGGUGAAUACAAAGAAGCCAUCGGGAGUAGACCAAAAGUGAACGCACCGAGGCCUUUUGCUGGAAGAGAAGGCAUGAGAGGAGCAGUGCGCCACAGUCAAAACUCCACCCUCAGCAAAAAGAACAGAGGAACAAAAGCAGCGAGCUCUGCCAAGUUAGGAUAAAUGUUUAUGCUGAUGCUCUGUAUGAAUCUUUGCAUCGUUUCAUCAGAAAGAAAGCAAUUCUUUAUUUCUGAGAAUGGCCCAGAGACUUUUUUUUCACCAGGAUCCAAUUCCUAAGGCAUUUAAUUGUGAUUCUUUUAUGAUGUAGUCCUUUGGGAGAAAGAAGAGAAAAACAGAAGUUUGAAAGACAGAUGCCCCGAUUAACAUGGGGCGUGCUGUGGGUCUUUGCCCUGUUCUGAGUGUCAUGUGUGUGACUAUUCAGCCUCUUCCUGGAUUGCAUUCCAGCCAAGCUCAUGGACAUCUCCUGCAUUUGAGGCAAUCGAAGCCAAAGCUGCUGCUUUGCCCUUCACCAUGUUCCUGCUGCCUCCAGCAGAGCCCUGCAGAGCUGGGUCAUUGGGGUUCUAUGAGAUCUGCCCCUCCUGGGAAAGUGGUGGGUGCAGCCCCAGCUCUGUCACUGCUGCCUUGCACUGGGAGAGUGCAUUUGUGGAGUGUGGAAGCCAAUACGGAUCGUAAAGAGAUGGAGGAGUAAUCCAAAGGAGGCAGGAAGCAAUCCAGGUACAGAAAUACGACCCCUGUAAGGAAAGCCUGAGAAUAAUUAUGGCUAUUUGCUCAAAAGACGACUAAAGGAACAUGUGAUAGCCAUUUUUAAGCACAGCAACAUAGUGACUGUUCAUUAUGCCUGUUCAGGUGCAGCAAGGAUUGGAACAAGGCAGGUUGAGGUCAGAGAUUUCCCACUGGCUUCCAGCUGCCAGGAGAGCCACACUACCGAGCGGAGUGCCAAGGGAGAGGCUCCAAAGUUUGCUUAUGGAGGUUUGGGGAGGUGGUAAGUAAAGCACUGUCAGUCAGGAAUGGUUUGUAUGAAAUUUCUCCUGCCUUGGUGCUUUGGGGUGGACUAACAGACAUAUUGAGUCCAUUCCAGCCCUGUUUGCUGAGAUUUCCACACUGUAUAAACUCAAGUGUAGGUCUGACCUAGCUGGAAUGUUUUUGCCAUUAAGUGAAACAAAAGGCUUACAGAUGUGAACGGCAAAUUACAUACUGCAAAUUAAAGCUUUAAGUAAUUAAGCAUGGCCUUUUCACAUUGUAUUUAUACUUUAUAAAUGUUAUUUUAGUUCAUUGCAUAUAAAUAACAAGUUGAGAAUUGCUGUUCUUAAUUGAAACCAUCUCUACUUUUCUAUGACAAGAGAUUACCAUUUUUAACAGACUCUGUGAUCCACUGAGGCUUAUCGUAGGAUUUUUUUGCACUGUUGCUAGGCAGCUUCAUGCAUGCCAGCAGACAGACACUGCUGGGUAUGUCACGGCUAAUUAGGAAAAAAUCUCUGUACUUUUGAGUGUACUGCAGCUCAAGUUUCUCAAGCUUGCUGCUCUGGAUAAAGACAAAUUAAUUGGUAUGAGGACUGACGAAGCACCAUCAUGGCAGCUGUGCUGUGCUGUGCUCCAAUAUUUUUUGUUUACAGUCCCCUGGAUCCACCGGGUGAAUGAAGUGGUCUGUGACAAGCCUUUGGUGUGCAGGUGAAUGGACUCUAUCUCAGCUAUCAGAUCUUCAGAAUCGUAGAACCAGGAAGGUUGAAGAAGAUAUCUAAGAUCAUCUGGUCCAGCCAUCAACCCAUCCCCACCGUGUCCACUAACCCACGUCCCUCAGUGCCGCAUUUACAAGUUUCUUGAACACCUCCAGGGACAGUGACUGCACCACCUAUCCAGGCAGCCUGUGCCAAUGCCUCACCACUCCUUCUGAGAAAAAAGUUUCCUAAUAUCCAACCCGAACCUCCCCUGACACUACUUGAGGCCAUUACCUCUUGUCCUAUUGCUAGUUACAAAGGAAAAGAGGUCAACCCCCACCUUGCCACAGCCUCCUUUCAGGCAGUUGUAGAGAUCAAUAAUGGCUCCCCUGAGCCUCCCUUUUCCCAGAAUGAACAAUCUCAGUUCCCUCAGCUGCUCCCCAUAAGACUUGUGCUCCAUACCCCUCACCAGUUUUGUUGCCCUUCUCUGGAUGUACUCCAGGGCCUUGAUGUCUUUCUUGUAGUGAGGGGCCCAAAACUGAACACAGCACUCGAGGUGCAGCCUCAUCAGUGCUGAGUACAGAGGGAAUCUUCCUCGGAGGAUGAUGGUUAACUGAAUUAUUUUACUGACAGCAGCUUUGAUUUGAUAAAACUCUGAUAAAAUUAAUACAGGGAAGUGCUUCAUUAAAAUCAGGAUAAGCUCCAUGGAAAGCCAGUGCAUCACACCUAGUCCACCUCUCCUGGUAGCUAACUGUGUUUCCAGGCUCUGAGCCAAGAAACCAGAGCCAUCUGCAUGCACUCAUUCUGAGAUGCUCCUGCCAGGGCUCCCAUGCUCCCUGCAAUCAGGUUCUCAGGUGGGUUCCUGAGGUAGCAGGGCAUAUAUCCUGCCCUGAGGCAGGAGAGCUCACUGUUCCAUGGUCUGCAGCUGUAGGAGAGAGAUCUUCCUAGGCCUGGAGCUCUGCCUACAGCUGGGCGCAUCUUCUGCUCUUUAGGAUGGCUUCCUGAGCCCUGAGAGCCACUGAGGAUCUCAUGGGACUUCCAGGGCAGAAGGUUAGGCUCUGAACUGAACAUAGCAGGAUGGAAUUCCAACGCCUGGUGCAGCUCCUCUGUUCAGGCUGUUGUAACACUGCUGGACCAUGGGCAGCUGCUUUCUGUCCUGGCUGGCUCCCCGAGACAUUGUGAGGGCUUUUCAGAAUUCUCAUCUUGAAGGAAAUGUGGAUAUCUUUAGCCCUAAUUAAUAAACAUUGACCUUUUAUGAACUGGCAAAGACAUCACAUAUAUGAGCUCCCAGAAGAACUUCCUUUUGGCUUUGGAUCAUCAUGUGGGCGGUGCUGGCAAGCCAGCAGGGGAUUUUUGCCAUAAGGGUGGUCAGGUGCUGGCACAGCCUCGCCGAGUGGCUGCGGGUGUCCAUCCAUGGGGACACCCAUCUGGACAUGGCUCUGGCUGAGCCUGCUCUGGGGAGGAUGGAGUAGGACACGUCUGUCUGGAUGUGCCUGCCAGCAGCAGUGAUUCUGGGGGUCAGCACUGACAGCAAAAAAGCUGACUUCUGCAGGAAGACUAAAAGCUUCUCUUUGACCAUCAAUUUUAGCUGCAUGCUCAUGGGCAGGAAGCACUGUCUUUUGGAUGAGUAGCUUUCCCCAGCUGACGAGAACACAGCCUGGAGCACAGCAAGAAAAGCAGCAUACUAAGCAAUGAGGGCUGCAGCAGAAAUAGGCUGCCAGUGGGACUGGCUGUGUUUUAUGGCCAUCCAGACCAUGUGGCUGCAGGGAAACCAUGAUAUCCAUCGUGCAACUUGGAGUGAAUCUAUCUGAAGAAUGACUUGCAAAAAGUCAGAAUUUGAGUGGAAAGUAAAGGGUAAAAAUGGCAGAAAUCCCAAAGCUCAUUCUCAGCACUUGCUGCUGGGAGUGGGUAGAAGCCUGUCCUCUGGGCACAUUAGAGAGUGAUUUCAGUUCCUGCAUUCUCUCCAGACAGCUGUACUGGGCUUGUGACUUGAUGUGCCAGCACAUACUUUGUGCCCUUGUUUUCUGCCUCUCUUUUUCUUCCUCCUCUCCAGUGUGAAACCCAUCUCCAGCUUUCCUUGUCAUUGCAACGAAUGGAAGUCUGCGGCUGUGUGCAAAUACUGUCUCUGCAGCAGUACAAGGAGGAUGCGAGGUGCCAGCACUCAUCCCACCACUGAGAGGAGGAUUCGGUUUCUGGCUGCUGUUGGUAAAAGACAGAUGUACAAUACACAAAGCAAGAGCUGACAUUCAGAAUGUGUGUCACCGUUUGCACUGGGCAGGUUGGUGUAACCGUUUGCAUGUCCGCCUUGCAGUGCAGUCCUGUUGGUGAGUGCAGGAAUCAUUUCCAGCUCUCAGCCCUGCCCUCUCAUCUCUCAUUCUCCUGUUUCCAGUUGCUGAACCCAUCCCCAGCCCGUGACUGUCAGCCUUGGUGCUUCCAUGUCUCUCCUGAAUCCACAGUGUGGAAAAACCAGGCCACAAACAUGUUGAGAAGACAGAUGGAUUUCAGCGAGGCUCAGGGGGCUGCAGAGAGGGUCUGGGUACAGGAAAUUGGCAAAGUAGAUGAGGAGAUGGGAGGAAUUUGUGAUGGUAAGGAAGCAGGAGUGGAGGAGGAAGGAUGGGGGAACAGGCUGGUGCAGCAACGGAGAGGUGCAGCUUAGUCUGAGAGCCAGGAAGGGAGGGCAGGAAAGCUCGCGUGGGCUUUGCUGUUGAGGCAAGGAUGAGGAUGGGAUGGGCAUCUUAAUGCUUUGGGAAUGGAAAUGGAAGACUUCUUAAGUCUCAAAUGAUAUCCAGUGGGUGUUUCCUGAGCCAGGAGAUGUCCCACCUUGGCCACCACUAGGAAAAAGAGCAGACAGAGAUGGCAACUCUCUUCUUGUCAACAGCACAAAUUGUCAACAGCACAAAGGGAGUUUUUGAGGAAGAGAUAGCUAACCAGUGAGAAGCAUUGGCUAAAUGGUUACUUAAGAAGAUUCAUUUUUCAAAGCCUGUGGUACUCAUGCACUGGAACUAACAGUUUCCAGGUCCAAUCUCCUGCUGGCGGGAGGACGCUGAGAAGUGCAGCUGACAGAUGGGUGUGCUUGCAGCCAAUCUCCCUGCGGUGCCCUGGCAAUGUACGGUGCAGCGCAGUGGAAAAGCACCGUUCAUGGAACAGACUGGAAACGAGAGCACUGACAGUGAGCUGUACUUGGACCAGCUCAGCCAAGCUGUAUUUCUGCACUGCUUAUAAAACCAGAAUUCAAUUUAUACGUGGAUUCCAGAGUAUCAUCAGGUAGAAAAUAACAACAUGGUCCUAAAUCCUCUUCCCUCCUCUUCACGCAGUCAUAGGGGAGGAUGCUGCAUUACCCCUCGAUGCUAUGGGUGAAUUUCCUUAAGUUUUGUAAGCUGCCAUUUGCAUCCUUUCUUUCCCCUUUUCUAUCACCACAGCUUAUGACAUGUUAACGUUGCUGACAUUGUUCCCAGGUCCAUGGGAUGCCAGUGGGCAUGUCCAUCUUGCCUGGUGCUGCUGCAGUGAAGGACUGCAAACCCACAUGUGCAUUCACGUCUGUAAUGGUUCAGAGACUCCAGAAGAUCAUAUUAAAUUAAAUUAAGGAGAGUAAAAUGUGUAUCAGGGGCAAUAUGAGGUGAUGCUUCAUUUCCAGUGUCCCAACUUGUUAAAAUAAAAAGCAUUCAUUCCAGUUGAAUAUUUAUCACUAAAUUUGAAGCAAAAGUAAAAAUGCCCUUUGGUUUCUCUGCAAGAAAAGUAAAGCCUCAUUGAAAUCUCACCACGGAGGAAUAUUUUUAACAUACAGAAAGUUUCCUGUUUUUAAAGGCAGUAAUGCAAAUUUGAAGUAAGACAAUGUAAAUUAUAGAGUGACUUCAAUGAGCUAUUUUGUGACCUUGCGAUCUUUAGAGCUAUUGAAGGGAGUCAACCGUGCUUCUGGUGGGUGGCUGCACAUGGAACCGAAGGGAAAUAUGUUGUGGGGGUGAGGGUGCCUGGCUGCUGUGAUGCAUAAGUGACGAUUUAGGGUUAGUGAGGAUGUCUGUGUUGCCUUAGUGAUGGCUUCCUGGGAUUUUUUUGGUGGCGUUCACAAGAACUCGAACUGGGGCUUUGUUUUGCAAAUCCAAUGGUGGGGCGUGGGCAAAUCACCCAUAUUUCCCUCUGCUGACUGACUGCCUCUGGUUGCUUCAUCUGAAUCCUGCUCAGUUUAGCUCAUAAAAACCUCUGUUUAUUGAAGUCUCCAGAACUGAGUACUGUAGCUUUUCUGGAUGGGAAUGGGAUGAGG